GCCAGGCGCGGUGGCGCAGGCCUGUAAUCCCAGUGGCUUGGGAGGCUGAGGCAGGAGGAUCCCAAGUUCGGGACCAGCCUCAGCAACUGAAUGAAUCCUUAAACAACUUAGGGAGACCCUGUCUCAA
rnacentral:sRNA from 1 species